CAUAUCCAGCCCUAUGGAGGCCUGUGAGGCACAGCGGAGGCCACCGCCCUCCUCGCAGCUUACACUUAGCUGCUGCUGUGAAGCGGAUAUAAGUGGAACCUACUCCACACUCACAGAAAGUGCAAAAUUCAACAGGAUGCCUCUGUCUAACUUUUCACAAGCUCAGUUGUUUGAACAUGUCACACUUGUUACAGUGAGACCACAGGUACUGCUGUGGUCUGAAGUGGCCCAAACCCACGUGCUCCAUCCAUCCAACAUGAAAACCUCUCCCCACUGAGGAGUGAACUGUGACGUCAGAGCUCACAGGGACGUCUUUCCCCAGGCGUAUGUUUUUAAUCACAAAACUUUCACUCUCUGAAGUUGCCUUUGUGAGAGCUCAGGUAUAUAAGCCAUAUGUGGUCCCAGGAGCAUGUAGGCAUUUUAGCUGAGUGCAUGACACCUAUCCAAGGCAUGUCCCAGCCCACCUCACAGCUGUGUGACUAGAUCCUGGCCAAUGUAUGAUGAGCAGAGGUGAAGAAUGCAACUUCUGGAUCAUAGUCUUUCCUGUUCCCCAUGAGCUGGAAGGCAAAAACACUGGACCAUUCUAACAAGGAUAUUACUUCACAUUGGCAGACAACUCAAUUAGGAGUCUGGGCUUUCAAAUCCCCUGAGCAGCACCAUCAACU